AACGGUCUAUACCUGCGGUACCUGCGGAAGGAUCAUUACCGAGUGCUGGGUCCUUCGGGGCCCAACCUCCCACCCGUGCUUACUUGUACCCUGUUGCUUCGGCGGGUCCGGGCCCUGUGCCCGGGUUUAUGCCCGCCGGAGACCCCUCGAACACUGCCUGAAAGCGUGCAGUCUGAGUCGAUUGAAUACCAAUCAGUCAAAACUUUUAGCAACGGAUCUCU
rnacentral:misc_RNA from 1 species